rnacentral:rRNA from 1 species
GACGAACGCUGGCGGCGUGCUUAACACAUGCAAGUCGAGCGGUAAGGCCUCUUCGGUGGUACACGAGCGGCGGACGGAUGAGUAGCUCGUAGGUGACCUGCCCUCAGCUCUCUGAUAAGCCUGUUAAACUGAGUCUAAUACCGGAUAUGACCUUUCCUCGCAUGCGGUUUGGUGGAAAGUUUUUUCGGCUGGGGAUGGGCGUGCUGCCUAUUAGCUUGGUGGUUGGGGGGUGGCCUACCAAGGUGACGACUGGUGGCCGGCCUGGGAGGGCGACCGGCCAGAGGGGGAGUGAGGCACGGGCCAGCCUCCGGAGGGAGGAAGGAGUGGGGAAUAAUACGGAAUGGGCGGCAGCCUCAGGCAGCGACGCCGCGUGGUGGCUGCCGGCCUUCUGGUUGCAACUCUCUCCCGACACGGACGAAGUUUGACGGUAGGGGUAGAAGAAGCACCGGCUAACUACGUG